UCAAAAACAUGGUUUUUUGAUGAAUAAUUUAAGAUUCAAUCUGCUCAAUGAUUUUAGGAUUAAAUAGCUGCGGUAUUUUAACUGUACUAAGGUAGCGUAGUGAUUUGCUUAUUAAUUGUAAGCUUGAAUGAAGGAUUAGAUAAGAAAUUAACUUUUUUAGAUAAAUUUAAAAUAAUUUUAAUUUUAAAUAAAAAUGUUUAAAUGUAAAAUAGGGACGAUAAGACCCCAUAGAUUUUUAUAAAUUGUUAAUUAAAUUUUAUUAAUUUUUUAAUGUUAAUUAGGGAAUUUAUUUAAGAGGGGAACUUUUAAAAUUUUUUAAUUUUUAAUAGUUAAAUAACAAGUUUAGUUGACUAUUUGAUUAAUUAAAAUUAAUUUAGAGUAAAAUACCUUGGGGAUAACAGCAUAAUGAAAUUUUUAAGAUCAUAUUUUAAUUUUUGAUUAUGACCUCCAUGUUG
rnacentral:rRNA from 1 species